rnacentral:rRNA from 1 species
GACGUAGGGCGCAAGCGUUGUCCGGAUUUAUUGGGCGUAAAGAGCUCGUAGGCGGCUUGUUGCGUCGACCGUGAAAACCCGUGGCUCAACUGCGGGCUUGCGGUCGAUACGGGCAGGCUGGAGUCCGGCAGGGGAGACUGGAAUUCCUGGUGUAGCGGUGAAAUGCGCAGAUAUCAGGAGGAACACCGGUGGCGAAGGCGGGUCUCUGGGCCGGAACUGACGCUAAGGAGCGAAAGCGUGGGGAGCGAACAGG